CCUACGGGAGGCAGCAGUGGGGGAUAUUGCACAAUGGGGGGAACCCUGAUGCAGCGACGCCGCGUGGGUGAAGAAGCGCCUCGGCGCGUAAAGCCCUGUCAGCAGGGAAGAAAAUGACGGUACCUGAAGAAGAAGCCCCGGCUAACUACGUGCCAGCAGCCGCGGUAAUACGUAGGGGGCAAGCGUUAUCCGGAUUUACUGGGUGUAAAGGGGGCGCAGGCGGGGAUGCAAGCCAGGAGUGAAAUCCCGGGGCCGAACCCCGGGACUGCACUUGGAACUGCGUGGCUGGAGUGCAGGAGGGGCAGGCGGAAUUCCUGGUGUAGGGGUGAAAUGCGUAGAGAGCAGGAGGAAUA
rnacentral:rRNA from 1 species